UACGUAGGGGGCAAGCGUUAUCCGGAUUUACUGGGUGUAAAGGGGGCGCAGACGGCAGCGCAAGCCAGGAGUGAAAGCCCGGGGCCCAACCCCGGGACUGCUCUUGGAACUGCGCGGCUGGAGUGCAGGAGGGGCAGGCGGAAUUCCUGGUGUAGCGGUGAAAUGCGUAGAUAUCAGGAGGAACAACGGUGGCGAAGGCGGCCUGCUGGACUGCGACUGACGUUGAGGCCCGAAAGCGUGGGGAGCAAACAGG
rnacentral:rRNA from 1 species